GUGGAUUAGAUACCCUGGUAGUCCAUGCCGUAAACGGUGGGCGCUAGGUGUAGGGGGCUUCCACGUCUUCUGUGCCGUAGCUAACGCAUUAAGCGCCCCGCCUGGGGAGUACGGCCGCAAGGCUAAAACUCAAAGGAAUUGACGGGGGCCCGCACAAGCGGCGGAGCAUGUGGAUUAAUUCGAUGCAACGCGAAGAACCUUACCUGGGCUUGACAUAUACAGGAUCGGGCUAGAGAUAGUCUUUCCCUUGUGGUCUGUAUACAGGUGGUGCACGGCCGUCGCCAACU
rnacentral:rRNA from 1 species